rnacentral:rRNA from 1 species
GACGAACGCUGGCGGCGUGCUUAACACAUGCAAGUCGAACGGAAAGGCCCUGCUUGCAGGGUACUCGAGUGGCGAACGGGUGAGUAACACGUGGGUGAUCUGCCCUUCACUUCGGGAUAAGCCUGGGAAACUGGGUCUAAUACCGGAUAGGAGCCAUUUUUAGUGUGAUGGUUGGAAAGUUUUUUCGGUGUAGGAUGAGCUCGCGGCCUAUCAGCUUGUUGGUGGGGUAAUGGCCUACCAAGGCGGCGACGGGUAGCCGGCCUGAGAGGGUGGACGGCCACAUUGGGACUGAGGUACGGCACAGACUCCUACGGGAGGCAGAAGUGGGGAAUAUUGCACAAUGGGCGCAAGCCUGAUGCAGCGACGCCGCGUGGGGGAUGACGGCCUUCGGGUUGUAAAAUCCUUUCGCUAGGGACGAAGCUUUUUGUGACGGUACCUAGAUAAGAAGCACCGGCUAACUACGUG